AUACGGGAGGCAGCAGUGGGGAAUAUUGGACAAUGGGCGGAAGCCUGAUCCAGCAAUGCCGCGUGUGUGAAGAAGGCCUGAGGGUUGUAAAGCACUUUCAAUGGGAAGGAAAAACAUCCAGCUAAUACCUGGAUAAUUGACAUUACCUAUAGAAGAAGCACCGGCUAACUCCGUGCCAGCAGCCGCGGUAAUACGGAGGGUGCAAGCGUUAAUCGGAAUUACUGGGCGUAAAGCGUGCGUAGGCGGUUACUUAAGUCAGAUGUGAAAGCCCCGGGCUUAACCUGGGAACGGCAUUUGAUACUGGGUAACUAGAGUGUGGUAGAGGAGAGCGGAAUUUCCGGUGUAGCGGUGAAAUGCGUAGAUAUCGGAAGGAACACCAGUGGCGAAGGCGGCUCUCUGGACCAACACUGACGCUGAGGUACGAAAGCGUGGGUAGCAAACAGGAUUAGAUACCCCAGUAGUCC
rnacentral:rRNA from 1 species